GACGAACGCUGGCGGCGUGCCUAAUACAUGCAAGUCGAACGCAGUGGGGACGGGUGAGUAACACGUGGGUAACCUACCAUCAGAGGGGAUAACACUUGGAAACAGGAGCUAAAACCGAAACUGAUGGAUGAACCAGCGGUGCAUUAGCUAGUUGGUGGGGUAACGGCUCAACAAGGCAACGAGGCAUAGGCCACCUGAGAGGGUGAUCGGCCACACUGGGACUGAGGCACGGCCCAGACUCCUACGGGAGGCAACAGUAGUGAAUCUUCGGCAAUGGACGAAAGUCUGACCGAGCAACGCCGCGUGAGUGAAGAAGGUUUUCGGAUCGUAAAACUCUGUUGUUAGAGAAGCGGUAUCUAACCAGAAAGCCACGGCUAACUACGUGCCAGCAGCCGCGGUAAUUC
rnacentral:rRNA from 1 species